AGGUUUUUUUUUUUUUUUUUUAAUUGAUAGCUUUUAUGGAAUGCAAAUGUUUGUUCUUAGUCUGGGAGUGGACAAAUGCUGAUCUGAGAUUUUUUUUUUCUCUUGUAAGAUUCAAUGCAAGUAUUACUUCCUAAAUAUGCCGUGAUAACUGUAGUAAAGAAAAAGUGUUUUGAGGGUUUGUAGAAAUUAUUUUGUGAUUUUAGGUUUCCUUUUUCAGAUCAAGAUAGGUUUUGGGAAUAGAAAUGGGGAUUCAAACAAUGGGAUCUCAAAGUAAUGGCCAACAAUCUCAUCUACAGCCAUGUCAGUUGACGAGGCAAAAUUCCUGGUAUAGCUUAACUCUUAAUGAAGUGGAAAACCAAUUAGGAAAUUUAGGAAAACCUUUGGGCAGCAUGAACCUGGAUGAGCUUCUUAAAAAUGUAUGGAGCAAUGAGGAAAAUCAAUCAAUGGGGAUGGGCAUUGAAAAUACCUCCGCAUCUUCCCUUCAGCGGCAGGCCAGCCUAACAUUGGCUAGGGCUUUGAGCGGCAAGACAGUGGAUCAGGUUUGGAAGGAGAUUCUGCAAGGGCAGAAGAAGAGGUUUGGUCAUGACAUGAAAGCUCAGGAAAGAGAAUCUAUACUUGGUGAAAUAACUUUGGAGGACUUCUUGGUACAGGCAGGGCUUUUUACUGAAGCAUCAUUAAGUCCCUCUAUGGAAGUGGUCUCUGUUGAUGUGGUGGCCUCUCAGUGUUUCCCACAGAAAAUGGUCUUGUCCCCAUCAUCAUCAAGAGGCAAUUUAUCAGAUACAACAGCAUCAGGAAGGAAAAGGGAUGCCCCAGAUGCUCUUGAGAAAAGUAUAGAGAGGAGGUUGAGGAGAAAGAUAAAGAACAGGGAAUCUGCUGCCCGUUCACGGGCUAGAAAACAGGCUUAUCAUAAUGAGCUGGUGAGCAAAGUAUCACGUUUGGAGGAGGAGAAUAUAAAGCUGAAGAAGGAGAAGGAAUUUGAGAAGAUGUUUCCAUGCGAACCUUCACCAGAUAUGAAAUAUCAGCUUAGAAGAACGAGUUCAGCCUCCUUCUGAUACUUGUUUCUUAAAUGAGAGUUUUGUAGUUCUUACACCACAGCUACUCCUGGGUUAAGAGGGGAAACUAUAUAUGGGGAUUUUAUCAGCAAGUUCCUUUACUCCAACUGCUGAUGUGACUCCACCCUGCCCUCCAUUAGGCUUUGGUUCCAUGUAAAUCCAAGGUUAGCUUGACAUUUUAUACAGCACAAAACGUGCUAUGUUCAUAUGACUAUAUUUUGCCUUGAUUAACUUGAAAUUGAAAUUGGAAGUGAAGAAACAUUUGGCUUUAUUUGUGCGUUACAGUUUUGAAAGGUUUGUACAAGCAACAUGCAUUAUGAAAUUGUUUAACCUUGAGAUGACGAUUUUUAAGUUUGAUUGGAACUCAAAUUUGA
rnacentral:misc_RNA from 1 species